UAAUUUUUUGAGUCAUAGCCACACACGUGCCAAUUCCGCAUCCAAUCCAUUUCGCUACGCACACUUAAGAUGGCGGCUACGUGAAAACAGCUGAUCGGUCCUGUGGCCCGCACUUGGUGUAUAUUUGUCCGUAACGUGAUUAGUUGAAAUCUCGCCGUACGCGGUACUUUCGCCCGAGAAGAAUUCUGGAAGCUGUGAACAUCAUGAAGACUGCGAAAGCGUAGUGCUCGGAUACGGAAGAAUCGAUGAAGGUUGGAAGGCAUCUCAACAGAUAGCUGGAAGACGGGAGGUGGAAAGUUGGGCGGCCUAGAGGGUCGAGUGCUCGCCGUGCUCGCCCAUACCGGCCCAGCUUCCGCCCCUGCGGAUUUUUUUCACGGCGAUGCUGAGGAGGACGCAGCCAGUAGUAGUGAGGAGUCCGCUGAAGUGCCCCCUGCCCCACCAGCAGCUGCGCGCGUCUCGGUGGGCACGGAGCCGGGGACCAGUGGCACUGCACCUCGGCAGCAGCCCCGCAGGCCACCCCGACUUCAGGUCCUCACGGACGCCGCAUCAAGGACCACCGCGGACUAUGCCCGGCAGAGCCGGUUAGCUGAGGCGGCAAACGCGGAGGCCGCAAGCUUCCACCAGCAGUUGCUGCAGCAACAUCGGCAGCUGGUGGAAGAGCAGCGAGCGACGCGGCAAGUCCUCGAGCAGCUGGUGGCCGAGAUGCGUGGUUCGCGAGAGGCGAACACCCUCAUUGCGACCACGCUGCGCCAGCUGCUGGCUGCCCUGGCCGACCUGCGCGCGCCGCCUCAGCAUUAAGGGGCAGCUUUUUUUUUUUUUUUGCCAUAUCAUCCUUUAGUGCUUUGUUAGGUACAAGUGUCACCUAUCUAUGCAUGUUUUUUUUUUAUGCAGCACUAAAGGAUGAUAUGGCUGUUUUCCGUAAUUUCUGUCCCUAAUCAUAUUUUUUUUCCAAGGUAAUUUCUGUCAUGUUUAUUUUAAUAUCUAGUGCAAGUUUCGCGUUUCUGUUCAUUACCGUGUUUUUUUAGUGUGUCAUUUAGUCAUUUUGUGUUUUUAUCUAUGUCCAAGUGAGACGGUAUAAGGUAUAUUUACAAUUUUUGUCAUAUUUUUGCGUUUCUGUUUUUUACCGUAUUUUUUUCUCCAAGUUCAUUCCAUGUGUAUUAUUCUUUGUCCAAGCGAGACGGUAUAACUUAUAUGUACAUUUUUUGCCGUAUUUUCGUUAGGUGUUGUUCACUUUUGUUUUGCUGUUACUUAUAUGUUUCAAUGUGCGCCGUUCUUCCACGGAAGAUACACUGUGCAAUCACUUU